rnacentral:misc_RNA from 1 species
AAAAUUCAAAAAGCAUUACCUUCAGACACGAGAGACCAUAGAUACACAAUAAUAUAUAAGAUGACCUGUCAUCUACACAUUCUUAAGUCCUGAGUCACUUAUUCUCCAGCUAUAAAGAUAGCAGAAGCUGCAUCGUGGGCUCCUUUAUGCUAGAUGCUACUUUAUUUUGUCCAAACAUACAAAAUUACCUAAGUUAGCCAAAGAAACAUGAAGAAUAUAUGCAUCAUAAAGAAUAUUACUUCCCUACACAAGAAUGAAAAUAGUAAAUUAUGCUUUUUUAAGGGCAAAACUAUAACUUCCCACGUGCAAACACAAUAAAAAAUAGCUACUAAACAGUCUUGCUGGUUGCCUUGGAUCUUCCCUGCCCCUCUUUCACUUCUUCAACUAUUAGUUAACUCCUAUCCUAUUCCACCUUUCAACUAAAACAACGACCCAUGACUACGAUAAUUCAGAAAGUUCUCCCGUUGUAAUGUAGAAGAAAAUAAAACGAAAACAUCAAACUCUAACAUCAGGCAACAAACCAACAAACAAAAACAAAUACCCACCUAAUUGAAGUAGUAGGUUCAGUAAAGAAUUGUUGCUGCUGCGGAAUGUGGAUAUGUGAUCCCUAAGCAAAAUGGGCUAAGCAUUCAACUGUUCUCCAGAAACCAAAAACUAAGAAGUUACAGGAAAUGAGUUCUAUGAGGACGAAUGUUGAAUCAAAAACAUGGGAUUACUGAGUGGCCAAGGUAUAGGAAGAACAACCUGGAGAUCCCAAUAUGAAUCCCAGAUACAACACUCAAUGUGUGUUCAUUUAUUAUAACCUUGUGGACAGAUUUUGUGUUCUGGCAACUGUGCUUUUUGAAUGAAGCAAAGCCCAG